rnacentral:rRNA from 1 species
GCUUGCUCUAUGUACCUUAGCAGCGAACGGGUGAGUAACACGUAGAUAAUCUGUCCUAUAUUGGGGGAUAGCCCGAUGAAAGUUGGAUUAAUACCGCAUACAGCUAUAUAGUUGCAUGAUUAUAUAGUGAAAGAUUUAUUGAUAUAGGAGGAGUCUGCGGCACAUUAGCUAGUAGGUGAGGUAAGAGCUUACCUAGGCGACGAUGUGUAGCCGGUCUGAGAGGAUGAACGGCCACAAUGGAACUGAGACACGGUCCAUACUCCUACGGGAGGCAGCAGUGGGGAAUAUUGCACAAUGGGGGAAACCCUGAUGCAGCAACGCCGCGUGAGUGAAGAAGGUUUUCGGAUUGUAAAGCUCUGUUAGCAGGGAAGAGGAAGGACGGUACCUGCAGAGGAAGCCACGGCUAACUACGUGCCAGCAGCCGCGGUAAUACGUAGGUGGCAAGCGUUGUUCGGAAUAACUGGGCGUAAAGGAUGCGUAGGCGGUUAAAUAAGUUAUAUGUUAAAUAUAUAGGCUUAACCUGUAGAAAGCAUAUAAAACUGUUUAACUAGAGUGCAGGAGAGGUAAGUGGAAUUCCUAGUGUAGCGGUGAAAUGCGUAGAGAUUAGGAAGAACACCAGUGGCGAAGGCGACUUACUGGACUGUAC